CCUACGUGAGGCAGCAGUGGGGAAUAUUGCACAAUGGGGGGAACCCUGCUGCAGCGCCGCCGCGUGAGUGAAGAAGUAUUUCGGUAUGUAAAGCUCUAUCAGCAGGGAAGAAAAUGACGGUACCUGACUAAGAAGCCCCGGCUAACUACGUGCCAGCAGCCGCGGUAAUACGUAGGGGGCACGCGUUCUCCGGAUGUACUGGGUGUAAAGGGAGCGCAGACGGCUGUGCAAGUCUGGAGUGAAAGGCGGGGGCCCAACCCCCGGACUGCUCUGGAAACUGUAAAGCUGGAGUGCAGGAGAGGUAAGCGGAAUUCCGAGUGUAGCGGUGAAAGGCGUAGAUAUUAGGAGGAACACCAGUGGCGAAGGCGGCUUACUGGACUGCAACUGACGUUGAGGCUCGAAAGCGUGGGGAGCAAACAGGAUUAGAUACCCUUGUAGUC
rnacentral:rRNA from 1 species